GACGAACGCUGGCGGCGGGCUUAACACAUGCAAGUCGAACGGACCGUCCCCUUCGGGCGUCCUCGGGGGGCGAACGGGGUGGUAACACGUGCUUAACCUCCCCUUAACUUCGGGAUACCUUCAGUAAACCGGUACUAAUCCCUGAUAGGAAUCCUUGCUGCGUGGUGGGUGUUGGAAAGCUUCGGCGGUUUUGGGUGGACUUGCGGCUUAUCAGCUUGUUGGUGGGGUAGUGGCUUAGCGAGGCUUUGACGGGUAGCCGGCCUGAGAGGGCGACCGGCAACAGUGGGACUGGGAUACGGACCAGGCCCCGACUGGUGGGAGCAGCGGGGGAGGUUGAACAAAGGGAGGAGGCCCGAUGCAGCAACGCCGCGGGCGGGAGGACGGUCUUCGGGUUGUAGUCCGCUUUCAGCAGGGGCUAAGCAGGUAGUGACGGUACCUGCAGAAGAAGCACCGGCUAACUACGUG
rnacentral:rRNA from 1 species